CAGAAUCAUUAGAAAACCCUACUCACAAGUCACAAACCUAUCUAUACAAAUACAACAGUACCUAAAGCUAGCUAGUGCAUUAUUAGUGAUUCCCCAACAGCACAUGUACUUUAUGCCUUUGGUUAAUUUCUGAAUGCUCUUUUUUACAUGGUGGAGUAGCUCUUCAACUGCAAUUCCUACAGGAUAUACACAAGAGGCUCUUAAACGUAUCCGCAGAAAAUAGUGCUUUCCUGACCGUACCAGAAUGUGGAAUGUCAUUUCCGCAUGUGCUCAUGUUCAAGCUAAAUGGGAAUCAAUCAAACAUAUGCAAAUGAAAAUGGACUUGGGUGGUAUCUAUCUGUCAACACUCAAUAGUGCCCUACUUGAUUGAUCAGCCAUGUCAAGUAUGGAACGUAAUCUCACAGUAAGAGAUGCAUUACAAAAUUUGAUAUGUCGGUCAUGUAUGGUCAAUGAUUUUGCUCCUUGACAUGCAUGCUAAUAUUGUUUGUGCCAUAAACCAAUCUUAUUUCUAGUGCAGGUUUCAUACAGAUUGCUAAAGUAUAUGACUUUUUUGAUAGGAUAAAUAGUUAUUCGUACAAAAUGGAAUCUAAAAGCAUUUUCUGAAUAACACCCUACAUUAAAUUUUUCUUGCCAAUAUAAUUUUAGUUCCUUAUGCAGUGACCUCAUUGACCUGUGUGGUUCAAAACAAAGGAGCUACGAUCCAGUCGUUGUUUUUGGACAGGAGCAUAUUGAAUCGGUUUAUUUCAGAGGUUGAGCAAUCCACCGGGUGCAUAGAGUAAUCUUUUACGUAUCAAAGAUCAUUUGGGCUGGCAGGAGCUUAUAUCAAACAUUGGGCUUGCAAGAGUUUAUACUUUAGAAGUUGUCUGAAAGAGCGUUCACAUAUUUUUUUAAGUAAAUCGACAUUUUAGUCCUCAAAAUUGUAAAAGUCAAGUAUUUUUAUCUUUUAAAUUUGUAAAAUAACA